CAGGUACUCCCUCCGUCCGAAAAUACUUGUCAUCAAAAUGGAUAAAAAGAGAUGUAUCUCGAACUGAAAUACGUCUAGAUACAUCCCUUUUUAUCCAUUUUGAUGACAAGUAUUUCCGGACGGAGGGAGUACCAA
rfam:Triticum aestivum genome assembly, contig: Triticum_aestivum_CS42_TGACv1_scaffold_423777_5BS